rnacentral:rRNA from 1 species
GAGUUUGAUCGUGGCUCAGGAUUAACGCUGGCGGCGUGCAUGAAACAUGCAAGUCGAGCGCGGUGUGAUGCGGGGUAACCCAAUUCGACAUCUAGCGGCGAACGGGUGAGUAGCACGUGAGCAACCUACCUUCGAGUUGGGGAUAGGCCCUGGGAAACCAGGAUUAAUACCCGAUGUGGUCACAACAGGACAUCCUGUAUGUGGAGUAAAGGCGUAAGCCGCUCGAUGGCGGGCUCGGCGGCCUAUUAGCUUGUUGGUGGGGUAACGGCCGUACCAAGGCGAUGAUGGGUAGCUGGUCUGAGAGGACGGAUCAGCCACACUGGGACUGAG